rnacentral:rRNA from 1 species
UACGUAGGGUGCGAGCGUUGUCCGGAAUCAUUGGGCGUAAAGAGCGCGUAGGCGGCCAGAUAAGUCCGGUGUGAAAGUCAAAGGCUCAACCUUUGAAUGCCGCUGGAAACUGUCUGGCUAGAGUCCGGGAGGGGCGAGUGGAAUUCCUGGUGUAGCGGUGAAAUGCGCAGAUAUCAGGAGGAACACCAAUGGCGAAGGCAGCUCGCUGGAACGGUACUGACGCUGAGGCGCGAAAGCGUGGGGAGCAAACAGG